AUGAAGAUUGAUUCGAAAUCAUUAUCCUUGUUCUCAAAGAGUGAGGGAGUGAGUGAGACAUUUGUCAUCAAAGAAAGGAAAGUAGGUGUUUGGAAUGAGGCUUCAUUCCUCAUACCUAACUUUCCAAGUUUGUAUUGUAACAUCAAGAAAGCCAAAGAAAAUCUAGCUUUUCUUCACAUGAUUUGUUCAGAUGUCCAUUUUGGAGUGAUGAGACAUGUAAUUUGUUCAUAUGUGAUGAAGACAUGA